ACCUCGAUCAGUAGAUCAG
rnacentral:rRNA from 1 species